GAACAAAAACACCAAACAAAGUAAAAUUUAGGAAACUUGACCAAAGGUCAAUUAACAAACACAAACUUAAUUAAUAACCGUAUUCCACAACAAUGACGCCAAAAUUUGGUAUGCCCAAAUUACAACUCUCGCUAGAGAGUGUAAGCGGUCACAGUUAAAUAUAGAACCCAACUGGUUGGGUGUCGAAUCCCAUAGGGAAUAUGAUGUUCAC
rnacentral:lncRNA from 1 species